GCGACAUAUUGGAUGAUCUAGCCAUGCGAGUCUUUGUAGUAUACAAGGCAGACGGCUCAGUAACGCGUCCCUUUAUAACCCUAUGGACGGGAAUAACCUCGGGAAACUGAUCUUUAUAACCGAUAGAACAUUAUGCCUGGAAUGAUUUAUGUUCCAAAUGAUUUAUCGCCGUAGGAUGAGACUGCUCCCUAUCAGUUUGUUGGUGAGGUAAUGGCCCACCAAGACUAUUACAGGUACGGGCUCUGAUAGGAGUGGCCCGGAGAUGAGUACUGAUACACGGACCCAGGCCCUAUGGGGCGCAGCAGGCGAGAAAACUUUGCAAUAUGCGAAAGCACGACGAGGUUAAUCCGAGUGGUUUCUGCUAUAGAGACCUUUUGUCGGGUCUACAAACACCGAUGAAUAAAGUGUGAGUUUUGUUCUGAUGUCAGCCGCCGCGGUAAAACCAGCACCUUAAGUGGGCAUGAUGAUUUUUGGGCCUAAAGCAUCCCGUAGCGGCUGUGUUAGUUUGUCCGUAAUUCUGGACGCUCAACGUACAGGCUGCCGGGAAUACUGCCAAGCUGGGGGGUGGGAGAAGUAUACCGUACUCCGUAGGAAGGGGAAAAAUCCUUUGAUCUAUUGAGGACCCCCCGGGGGCGAAGGGGGCUAACAGAAAAAGUUCCCAAGGGAGGGAAGAAAGAGGGGGGAAAAAAACCCGAUUAAAUACCCUGGCUGGUCCCACUGUAAACCCUGGAAAAUCCCGGGAUGGAAUUUGUUGGUGGCCAAUGCAUUGGUUACAGGGAAACCGUUUAAAUUGCCCGGCUGGGAAAGUAUGUUCGCAAGUAUAAAAA
rnacentral:rRNA from 1 species